AGGCAAAUCCUGUAAGCAAUCAA
rnacentral:siRNA from 1 species